rnacentral:sRNA from 1 species
GGGGACUCAUGCGAUACUGCCUACGAUGAGUAGGAGGAAGGUGGGGAUGACGUCAAGUCAUCAUGCCCCUUAUACGCUGGGCUACACACGUGCUACAAUGGGUAGAACAGAGAGUUGCAAAGCCGUGAGGUGGAGCUAAUCUCAGAAAACUAUUCUUAGUUCGGAUUGUACUCUGCAACUCGAGUACAUGAAGUUGGAAUCGCUAGUAAUCGCGAAUCAGCAAUGUCGCGGUGAAUACGUUCUCGGGUCUUGUACACACCGCCCGUCACACCACGAGAGUUGGUUGCACCUGAAGUAGCAGGCCUAACCCGUAAGGAGGGAUGUUCCGAGGGUGUGAUUAGCGAUUGGGGUGAAGUCGUAACAAGGUAUCCGUACGGGAACGUGCGGAUGGAUCACCUCCUUUCUAAGGAGAAUGUGUCUUUCUCUAUUCUAUUGGUAAUGUUCUUGCAUGAACUUAUCAAUAACGCGUUUGUAGCUCAGCUGGUUAGAGCACACGCCUGAUAAGCGUGAGGUCGGUGGUUCAAGUCCACUCAAACGCACCAUGUGGGGAUAUAGCUCAGUUUGGGAGAGCGACGCACUUGCACUGCGUAGGUCAGCGGUUCGAUCCCGCUUAUCUCCACCAUUAUUUUAUCUGAACAUUGGAAACUAUAUAGUAGAACAAACAAGAAAAAAAUUAACUCUAAACAAUUUCUUUAGAGUUAGCUGUCAAAAAAUAGGUUAAAAUAAUUAAGGGCACACAAAGGAUGCCUAGGUAGUAAGAGCCGAUGAAGGACGUGGUAAGCUGCGAUAAGCCUAGAUAAGUUGCAAUCGAACGUAAGAGUCUAGGAUUUCCGAAUGGAGCAAUCUAUUAAGAUGGAGUCUUAAUACGAAGGAGGGAACCGCGUGAACUGAAACAUCUAAGUAACGCGAGGAAAAGAAAGUAAAAACGAUACCCAAAGUAGCGGCGAGCGAACUGGGUCAAGCCUAAAUCUUAAAUAUGUCAAGGAUACAGCCGUUGUAUUUAAGGGGUAGAGGGACAAAGUAGUGAAGAACUGUAAGAUAUUCAAUAUAGUGUAUUGAUGAAUUAGAAUUGUCUGGAAAGAUGAACCGCAGAAGGUGAAAGUCCUGUAUAAGUAAAUCCUUACACAUAUAACUUUGCUCCCAAGUAACAUGGAACACGAGGAAUUCUGUGUGAAUCAGUGAGGACCAAAUCUCAUAAGG